UUCUGUUAAGAGACAAAUAUUUGAUUUUCUCUUUUCACUCCUUUAUAGAUAACAGACAGUUCAGAGUGCACAUAUCGUAACAUAGAUCUGCAUUGUUUCUGUGCAGGUCAUUGCAAACUCGCUCUACAAGUUCAUUUACAUAAUAUAUCACCUGUCAAACUUCAGGGUUUGUCUAUGACAGAAGGUCAAAAAUAUUUCAACAUUAUUUCUCGCAGCAACAAAAGUAGAAAGUUCAGACGUACAAACGGACGUUACAAUCUGCUCUGAAUAUUACAGAAUAUUCAGGAUAUGUUCUCAGAUAUACACCGCUUAAAUCCUGCACACUGGCCCUUUCACUUUUCAGGUGGCCCAGAGAGAAAAAAUUCUCCUGUGUGAAUUAAAUGGCAGCUUCAGGUCUUUUAAAAACAGAGUUUUAACUUAGCCUGAACUGGCUUUUAUGGUGUGUUUUUCUUGUCAAUUUAUUGUAACUGGAGGACUUUUUGCAAGUGCAGCUUUACAAAACAACAACCCAACAGAAAGAGGAUGCUUUUCUUACAGCAGGGUUCAGACUUUGUUGUAAUGGGAGAUGGUGGAAGCAGUGAAAUGCAGAUGAAAAACCACCAACAGAAGGACACAGAGGACAAGAAGAAUUGCACUGACUUUGGAAAGAACAGAUUACUUGUUUAUGUCGGUAUUAUUUAUAUUAUUAUUGAUAAAUUGAUGCAACAGGCAGCAGUUUUGAAACUAGAGCCCUAAAAGCUCCGAAUGUCUGUCACAUUAUCUGCAAUCUUGUUUGAGAGAACAUCAUUAGAUCUGGAAGGGCGAGUCCUCGAUCGGCAGAGCUGACACAGAUGGUUUUGUUCAGCAGGAAUUCUGCCUCGCCUCUCGUCACGAGUCUGGUUUUUUUUGCAGCAGUUCUCAAUAACAACACGACUCCUGCACAGACUCCUGGGGGCCGAGGCGGGUUCAGCUGCCCCUUUAUACUGUAUGGUAGGUAGAGGAGGAGACCUCUGUGGAUAACUGGACUCCCGGUAGAAACCUCCUGAGCCAUGAACACUGAAGGAAUCCUAACCGGGAGAAGCUCAAACUUGGUCUUUUGUUGUUAAUUUGAUGUGAGAGACCCCCUAGUGGUAGAAAUUACAUACUGUGCGCUUUAACAUGUUUCAUAAUGAGAAAAGUAAAUCUGGCAAAAUACUUUCUGCAGUUUGGUGUUAGAGGAUUUUACUCAACAGGGUUCUGCAACAAUAAAUGGCGGAGGAAAAGGAGAUGACUGGUUGCUCUGUAAACAAUGUGCCCGGAAAAAAACAGGAUAAACUCAGUGUUUCCUCUAGGAUUUUUUUUUAGCAGUGGCGGCAGGCCCGUCCCGUCGCGCCGGCAAACGUUUUACGUAUGAAACAGAAGUGACACUUCGCUGCGACACAAACAAAUAUAUUUACCGUUUUAAUGUUUCCAGAUGUUUGAUAUCAGGACGUUGAGCUGAGAACUGACAAGUUGAACGUUGUCCAAUUAAAACGGACCCACCGCGGUGACGUUUUUGGUGGAGCUGUUAGUUUAAUAGUCGACUUGGAAGAAAGUUAACGUUUUGACAAUAAGCUCCAUCAACACAACAGUAUGUGGAGUUAAACUGGACAGCCCCAAUAACCUCUGAAUAGUUCUACUUGUUGUUAAAUUGCAAUGUGAGCGGCAGCCAGCGGGGGUGCAUUAUGUCAGCAGGAUCAUUUAAAAGGCAACCGUGACUACAUUGUGCGUCUGCCCCAUUUCUGAUACCGUGGCGGCAGAAAUUUAACAGCGACGGGCCGCCGCUCCAAAGUCAACAUAGAGGAAACACUGUAAACUGGAAGACAAUCCAAAAAAAUUACAACAAGGAAGGAAAAUAUUAAGAAAAGCCUUUAUUGUAGAGGCUAAAUCACAUUUUGACCACCGUUGGUCUUCGUCGGGGUUUUAAACAACAAAUAAAUAAAAAAAUAAAUGGCGGACCCUGCCUUCAUUUGCAAUUGACCACCAUUAGUUUUAGAUGCAAUGGUGAGUUUAGGUGCCG